AACAAUGUGCAGCUAAAAAAAAACGUGUAGCACAGUGAAACAAGUUAAAAUAAC
rnacentral:lncRNA from 1 species